GAUGAACGCUGGCGGCGUGCCUAAUACAUGCCAGUCGAGCGAACAGACGAGGAGCUUGCUCCUCUGACGUUAGCGGCGGACGGGUGAGUAACACGUGGAUAACCUACCUAUAAGACUGGGAUAACUUCGGGAAACCGGAGCUAAUACCGGAUAAUAUAUUGAACCGCAUGGUUCAAUAGUGAACGACGGUUUUGCUGUCACUUAUAGAUGGAUCCGCGCCGCAUUAGCUAGUUGGUAAGGUAACGGCUUACCAAGGCAACGAUGCGUAGCCGACCUGAGAGGGUGAUCGGCCACACUGGAACUGAGACACGGUCCAGACUCCUACGGGAGGCAGCAGUAGGGAAUCUGCCGCAAUGGGCGAAAGCCUGACGGAGCAACGCCGCGUGGGUGAUGAAGAUCUUCGGAUCGUAAAACUCUGUUAUUAGGGAAGAACAAAUGUGUAAGUAACUAUGCACGUCUUGACGGUACCUAAACAGAAAGCAACGGCUAACUACGUG
rnacentral:rRNA from 1 species